UUCCUUGGGAGGAGAUCUUAGGGAUGCUAGUGUCAGGCACAACGGUGAGAGCUUCAUGUCUAGUAAGUUUUACUCCAUAAUAGACUUAGAGGACCUUAGUAUACUUUGGGCCUAAUUUGCCAUUCCCCCUAAGUUUGACUUAAAGCUCCCUAAUCCAACUAGUAGGAUAUACAAUCCCCCUUAGUUGGCUCGCUCUAUAUGAGGAGUCAUUCUGAGCUG
rnacentral:lncRNA from 1 species